UCGUUUCGUUGCUCCAGCGCUUCCUGAGCAUUUUCCAAAUUUCCCUGCUUGGCAGCAUUCUUCUCUGGACAAGUCUCAUGCUGUCGGCAUUUGCGCCUAACGUGGGGGUCAUGACUGUACUUUUUGGAGGUCUUCACGGCUUGGGCAUCGGAUUCAUGGAGAAUACGAUGGCGGUGACUGUAGCGACCUCGUUCCUGGAGCAUCAGUCUGUCGCAAUGGGUUUGAAAGACGGCGGGCGCACCUUGGCUGUUCUUGUUUUCCCCACCAUUGUAUCCCGUUUAAAUUCAGUAUACGGCGUCCGCAGCACGCUGGCACUUUGUGGAGCGCUUCUUAUGCACGUAACAGCGCUAGUGCUAGUGCUGCGGUGCUGUCCGGUUAGGGAACGACUGUAUUUUGGCCACACUAAUACCGAAACUAGGAGUGGCGUGACACCUAGGUCAAUAGGAAGUAGGCGCCAUUACAAAGGAUCAUUCCAUGGAAACACGAGCACAACAAACGUAACAACUAAGAAUUAUAUGUCCUGUAAAAACUUUGACAGAGCGUCUACAGGCCAGGAAAAUAAUGUUGUGGCUAAGCCGAUUCCACAUAGCGAAAUAAACAUAUACGCUGAGAAGAAAGACACUGGCGGCACCUCAUCAGCACCAGCAAACACUACCAUAAAAGGCAGCAUGAAUCCCGUGACCUCACAAGCACCUGAUUGCGGGCCAGGCUUUGCUAAUAUUUUCCCGCCGCAAGCUGUGAACACGCCUCUGAAGAAUAAUCCAAUUUCUUCGUUGACAAGCAACGUUGAAAGAGUGCGCUGUGAUGAAAACAAAAAGACGGCCUUUCCGUCAGCAAGCAAAGCCGGACUGCUCCUUUUACUUACUGACCCAAGGUUUUACGUACUCGUGUUCCAAAAUUCAGUGACGAAUUACUCAGCAAUUACAUUUAGAACGAUAUUAGUCGACUAUGCAAGGGACAAGGGUGUACCGUUGGCUCAUGCCGAGCUGGUGGGAACAUACUGCGCGGCCACCGACCUACUUGUAGGCCACAUUGCACUGCCAUACCUCUCCGACCGCGGUUUUGUGAACCGAACCUUGCUUGCGUCGCUAACGUUUGCCCUUCUCUCUGCAGCAAUGUUUGCGGUAACCGUUUCUCAAGGUCUAGUAUCUUUCCUCGGCGUAUUUUCAGUAUUGUCCCUAUUCCUGGCGGGGACUUCGUCAUUCUCGCCAUUGUUGAUCACCGGUUAUCUUGGUCCUUGCCGGGUUCCCCUAACCUGGGGUGCCUCAGGACUUGUGACAAGUCCUCUGCUCUUGGCGACACCCGUAAUAACUGGCUAUUUCAGGGACACCAUGGGCUCGUACGACAACCUCGUGCGCCUUAUUGCAGGGUUGGCUGCCAUCUCCGCAAUACUGAU